rnacentral:lncRNA from 1 species
CAGCGGCGGCGCAGACGAUCCCGUGAGUCCAGCCACGGGGGGCGGAGCGAAGCCACCGGCGGCGAGGUGGUGAAGGGGGCUGGAGGCGGCGUCCGUUCGAGCGGCGGCGGCCGGAUCGAUGGAUCGAGUCGAGCACCAUGCGCCCCUGUGUCCCGCGGCUCGGGUCGGCUCGGUACAGGCGGAAGUGCAGCGGCGGCGCCUCUCCUGGUGUUGUGCCAGGAAGGCCGCCACCCACCAUCCACCAAGCACGAUAUAGCAAGCACUGAAUUGUCUACACUGCACUGCACAUCAGGUGUCGAUGCAAAAAGGUACAGGUCAAGAAACAAAGAGAUGCAAAUUGUGCCACUAAAAAUCUAUUUGGCGGGCAAACGGGUAAAGCAAGCGACAUAUUGGUGGAGCAUGCCAAUCGCAAGGAAAAACUCUCAUGGACAUGCAGUUGUGGACUGUGGUAGGGUCCUCCACAAAACAAAGAGACGAAGUGCACUUGUGGGUAGAGAGCUUUCACAAACAAACAGGCAGCAUACAUUCCUGUGGGAGAGAGAGAGAGAGCUUGCGCAUGUGCUAGCUGUCUGGUAG